UCAAAAAGGUGGGUGAGUGAUGCCCAUCAGAUCUGCUGUGGUGAAAGGAAAUUUGAUCUUACAAAUAGAACCCACUGAAUUAUUUUACACUGAUAGUUCUCUGUGUCAUGCCGGGGUAGCUGUUCAUAACAUCACAGAAUCAUGGAAUGGCUGAGAUGGGAAUGGACCUCUGGAGUUCAACUAGUACAACCCCCUCAAGCAAGUCCAGUGAAAGCAAACUGCAAAGGACUGUGUCUAUUUGGGUUUCAAUUAUCUGGAUGGCUGAAGACUCCACAACCUCUCAGGGAAUCCUGUAAGAAAUAUGGUCUGGCUCCCAAAUGGGCAAGUACCCACCAAAGAAGCACAGAACAGCUGCUGCAUGAACACAGACACACCUACUGAUUGCUAAUGAAUGGGGUAUCCACUGAAUGGCUUUCAAGGAUCACCUCCUCUAAGGUCAGGAAUUGUCCAUCCUCACAUUCAGGAAGGCAAGAAACGUGGCAGAAGGGCUGCACCCAGGGAGGAGGAACAACCCCAUACACCAGCACGAGCUGGGGGCUGGCUGGAAAGCAGUUUGCAGAGAAAGACCUGGGGGUGCUGGUGGACAACAGUUGGAUGGAAGACACAGCAGUGCAAAGGCUGAAAGAUCCUGACCUGAUUGCUGGAAUUUAUACCAGCAAUGAAUUCACACAGGGAGCGGCCAGAAGGAAUGACUGAAAUGGCUUGAUUUGAUUUCCCAUGGAAGACAAAACAGGGUUUUUCCUGAAAUUCAUUAUAAUUUGAACAGUACCUUAAAAUUUAAGGAAAUCCCUUCCCCCCUGCUCAGUAAUGGGGAACUCAUUGCAAGUUUAGUAAAUUUUGGUGCUUCACUACUCUUGCAAUUAAAGUCUCAACUUCAUUUCCCUCUGCACUUGCCAAUGUUAACCUCUUAACUAUUUGAUAGAUGCUUUUCCAACAUAUAGGAAACCAAAUGAUCCUUUGGGUACCUGGUACAAGCAUUUUUAAAUUCUUACUCAGUGUUCUGCUAAACUGAAAGCCCUUGUUAUACAAUAUCUUUUCCCCUCAUAGAAAUUUAUAAUCUCAUUAUAGACUCUUAAACUUCCUUUUUGCUGAACUAAAGAGAUUGAGCUCUUUCUGUUUUUCCUGCAAAGGUUCAUUUUGUGUCAUUAUUUCAUACUGUGAACUUUGUAUGAUUUGCAAUGCUCUUUCUUGCACUAGGGCCAUUGGAACUAAACGAAAGGAAAAUAAUCUUAACAUACCACCCUAAUAUAUUCUGAUUUGCACAGUCAACGUUCUUAUUAGCCUUUACAGCUGCAGCAUGGAUAAAUAUAUUGCAGAGAAUUGAAAGUUAGACUAAACACCACUUUUUCCACAGGAAGUUAAUGACUUCAGUGCACUACAUGUGGAAUAAGAAAACAUCCUGGAAAAAAGUGGCAGCAUCUUCUGGCUCACCAGUUAUGAAUUAUGGAGAAGGUCUUCAAACAAUCUUAGUAGAAGUCAAUGCUGCAGGUCAAAAUUAUGCUGGCUGAAGAAAUGUUACCUUUGUUUUAUGUUUACAUAGGGAAAAAUAGUAUAAAUAGGCUUCUAUUUUGUUUGUGUCCUGAUGGGUCAGGACAGAAAUAGGGAUGGGAAGAGAUGCUUGCUCCUUUUAACUGGAAGUUUCACCACACAGUUUAUCUCUCAGCGCAUAUCUUUGUAGCAGGUUUAUAGAGCUUGGGCUGGCUGGACAGGUCAGGCUGGCUCUUGGGGGUCCUUCCAUGUGUUUCAGUGUCAUUUAGGACAUGAGGUCUGUCUGGAAAAUAUUAAAGGCUCUCAGUCAACAUAAACUGCAGUGAAAUCAUGGGUGGGCUCAUGAGGUUGCUCCUAUCAUUACUUUCAUGUUGCAGAUGACUCUGUUUUCCAGAAUUUCCAGACAAUUUGUAUAGAUAACAAUAAGAUUUAUUUCUGACUCCCUGAUAAGCUGCAAGUUGUACCAGUGCAGAAUUGUUUGACAUGUUCCAUUCUGCUACAGUUCAAUGUUUACUGAAAAGCCACAUUAUUGCUACAUGUGC